rnacentral:misc_RNA from 1 species
GAUGAAGAACGUAGCGAAAUGCGAUACUUGGUGUGAAUUGCAGAAUCCCGUGAACCAUCGAGUCUUUGAACGCAAGUUGCGCCCGAAGCCAUUAGGCCGAGGGCACGCCUGCCUGGGCGUCACACGUCGUUGCCCCCCCAUCUACUCCUUCGGGAUUGCGGGGGGCGGAUGAUGGCCUCCCGUGCGCCUCGUCGCGCGGUUGGCAUAAAUGCCAAGUCCUCGGCGACGCACGCCACGACAAUCGGUGGUUGCGAAACCUCGGUUGCCCGUCGUGUGCGGUCGUCGCGCAUCGAGGGCUCGAAAAAAUUGCCGGGCUCCGGCUCGGCUUUCAAUGCGACCCCAGGUCAGGCGGGGUUACCCGCUGAAUUUAAGCAUAUCAAUAAGCGGAGGA